rnacentral:rRNA from 1 species
CGGGAGUAACAACCUGGAAACAGAUGCUAAUAACCGGAUAACAAACAGAUGAUGCCUAUCAACUGUUUAAAAGAUGGUUCUGCUAUCACUCUUGGAUGGACCUGCGGUGCAUUAGCUAGUUGGUAGGGUAACGGCCUACCAAGGCGAUGAUGCAUAGCCGAGUUGAGAGACUGAUCGGCCACAUUGGGACUGAGACACGGCCCAAACUCCUACGGGAGGCAGCAGAC